AUGGCCAGGCUGUCUCCACCCGAGACUCAGUGAAAUUGAACUCGCUGUGAAGAUGCAGUGUACCCGCGGCAAGACGGAAAGACCCCGUGAACCUUUACUAUAGCUUGACACUGAACAUUGAGCCUUGAUGUGUAGGAUAGGUGGGAGGCUUUGAAGUGUGGACGCCAGUCUGCAUGGAGCCGACCUUGAAAUACCACCCUUUAAUGUUUGAUGUUCUAACGUUGACCCGUAAUCCGGGUUGCGGACAGUGUCUGGUGGGUAGUUUGACUGGGGCGGUCUCCUCCUAAAGAGUAACGGAGGAGCACGAAGGUUGGCUAAUCCUGGUCGGACAUCAGGAGGUUAGUGCAAUGGCAUAAGCCAGCUUGACUGCGAGCGUGACGGCGCGAGCAGGUGCGAAAGCAGGUCAUAGUGAUCCGGUGGUUCUGAAUGGAAGGGCCAUCGCUCAACGGAUAAAAGGUACUCCGGGGAUAACAGGCUGAUACCGCCCAAGAGUUCAUAUCGACGGCGGUGUUUGGCACCUCGAUGUCGGCUCAUCACAUCCUGGGGCUGAAGUAGGUCCCAAGGGUAUGGCUGUUCGCCAUUUAAAGUGGUACGCGAGCUGGGUUUAGAACGUCGUGAGACAGUUCGGUCCCUAUCUGCCGUGGGCGCUGGAGAACUGAGGGGGGCUGCUCCUAGUACGAGAGGACCGGAGUGGACGCAUCACUGGUGUUCGGGUUGUCAUGCCAAUGGCACUGCCCGGUAGCUAAAUGCGGAAGAGAUAAGUGCUGAAAGCAUCUAAGCACGAAACUUGCC
rnacentral:rRNA from 1 species